GCGUCCAUUGUCUAAUGGAUAGGACAGAGGUUUUCUAAACCUUUGGUAUAGGUUCAAAUCCUGUUGGACGCA
rnacentral:tRNA from 10 species